rnacentral:misc_RNA from 1 species
GAACGCACAUUGCGCCCUAUAGAAUUCUGUAGGGCAUGCCUGUCUGAGCAUCAUAAUAUCUACUCAGAUCUUUGAUUAUUUUAUAUAGUCUUGGAUUUGGAUUUAAUCAGAGAAGUAACCUAUAUGAGUAGAUUACUCUUUGGAAAAAUAAAGGCAGUUAUAGUGAAACCUGUAUUAAACGUGAUAUUAAAAAGUUUCGUUUUUAAGGACUACAUCUUUGACUUGCCUUUAACCCACUUAAUUCUUUUUGAUUGACCUCAGAUCAGGUAGGGAUACCCGCUGAACUUAAG